UGUGCCCAAAAAGAAUUUCAGUUCAACUUUAAGCUUACCAUCAGAACAACAAAUCAAAAUGUAAACUUAAAAUAUAGCCAAAAGAGGGACAGCUCUUUAGGAAAAGGAAAAAACCUUAAAUAGUGAAUAAACAACUACAAUCACUUAACCAUUGUAGGCUUAAAAGCAGCCAUCAAUAAAGAAAGCGUUCAAGCUCAACAUACAUACUUACACACACUAAUUCCACAAACCUCAAUAAAUUCCUAUAUUACAAAUUGGGCUAAUCUAUAGAUCCAUAGAUGAAAUACUGUUAAUAUGAGUAACAAGAACCAAUUCUCCUAGCACAAGUGUAUGACAACCCGGAUAACCAUUGUCAAUUAUCGAAUCAUAGGUACUAACCCAACAAUAAAAUUACCUAUCCCUAACUCGUUAGCCCAACACAGGCGUGCUUUAAGGAAAGAUUAAAAAAAGUAAAAGGAACUCGGCAAACACGAACCCCGCCUGUUUACCAAAAACAUCACCUCUAGCAUAACAAGUAUUAGAGGCAUUGCCUGCCCAGUGACUAAAGUUAAACGGCCGCGGUAUCCUGACCGUGCAAAGGUAGCAUAAUCACUUGUUCCUUAAUUAGGGACUAGAAUGAAUGGCUAAACGAGGGUUCAACUGUCUCUUACUUUCAAUCAGUGAAAUUGACCUUCCAGUGAAGAGGCUGGAAUCUCCCAAUAAGACGAGAAGACCCUAUGGAGCUUCAAUUUACUAGUUCAACUUAUAUAAAAACAACCUAAUGGGCUAAAACAAAAUAAAUAUGAACUAAAAAAUUUCGGUUGGGGUGACCUCGGAGAAUAAAAAAUCCUCCGAAUGAUUUUAACCUAGACUCACAAGUCAAAGUAAUACUAAUAUCUUAUUGACCCAAUUAUUGAUCAACGGACCAAGUUACCCUAGGGAUAACAGCGCAAUCCUAUUUAAGAGUUCAUAUCGACAAUUAGGGUUUACGACCUCGAUGUUGGAUCAGGACAUCCCAAUGGUGCAGAAGCUAUUAAUGGUUCGUUUGUUCAACGAUUAAAGUCCUACGUGAUCUGAGUUCAGACG
rnacentral:rRNA from 1 species